GUAGGGGGCGAGCGUUAUCCGGAUUUACUGGGUGUAAAGGGAGCGUAGACGGCCAUGCAAGCUCGGUGUGAAAGGUGCGGGCACAACCCGCAGACUGCACUGAGAACUGUAUGGCUGGAGUGCCGGAGGGGCAGGCGGAAUUCCUGGUGUAGCGGUGAAAUGCGUAGAUAUCAGGAGGAACACCGGUGGCGAAGGCGGCCUGCUGGACGGCGACUGACGUUGAGGCUCGAAAGCGUGGGGAGCGAA
rnacentral:rRNA from 1 species